rnacentral:misc_RNA from 1 species
GCAGUACAAAGAAAGAAAAUACAGGGGAAAGAACAGAGGAUACACAUCACAUGUACUAAUGGAAUUCUAUACUUUAAUUUUUUCAUGUACAACAAGUGAAAGAAUAAGCAGAGACCAGCUGAGCUCCAAUCUACCUAUACCCAAAAGCUACAAGCUGCUCCCUCAAAACCUCUCACUCUAAAGCAUAUGAACCAAAAGAACAAAAAAAGAACCCAGAAACAGGGUGAUACUGUAACAGAGAAGGAGACCCGGGGACAUAUCUGCAGGCAAUCCCUCUGGUAAAUCUCCUUUCUGAAUCUUCUGCUAAGAAAAUCAUAGCUACACAGCCUUCUCUACUAGACCUGCUUCUCCAAAUCCUUAGCACUAAUAAAAGUGCCGUGAAAACCAUAAGGAACUCGAGAAGGAAGCUUAACUGUUGCUUCUAGCUGCAAAUUCAUGGCAUUCACAAUUUGCAGCUCGGAUUUCCACUCUUUUUCGUCAUGGACAAAGCAUAAAAUAUACCCAGAAUCUUCUUUCCCUGAAUUGGAAUUUGGGUC